GAGGGGGUGGGGAAUACGUGUGCACUAUUUAGGGGCGUUUAUAGGUGCCUCUGAAUCGGAAACUUCACUAUUCAAAAGUGCUUUGGGGCCAAAUGAGCUCUCCAACUCUACAAGCAGAAAGCCCUACUGGGGAGAUGUUGAGGGGGGAUAUUCCUCCCCCACCACCAGACUAGGCUGCAUUCAGCAAAAACGACUCAGAUUGAGGGAGGUAGGGAGGAAAGGAAAGAAGAAAAAAAAGGAAGGAAGGGAAGGAAGAAAGGAGGAAAGAGAAGAGAUUUUUAAAAAGAGAGGAUUUAAUUGGACUUAGUGGCAGAGGGGAUUAGCAAGAGGGGCACUCGGGACCUGGUUUUAAAUUGGCGAGUGCAUUUUAGAAGGAAACACUACGCACGAUCAGGGUCUGGGUGUUCCAGCGAACUGAUGACCAUACAAAUCACGAGUUUCACAGGGAUGGCAUAGUGUCAUGCUUUAGCCAUCAGCUAUCGUGGAAACUAGCCUCCCUCUCGUAGGCAAUCCAUCAUUCACUAACUGGCCGCUCUACCAUUCCACACGGAAAGAAGUCGGACUCGGAGCCUCCGGCGCGGGCUGGGUCUGGGAACCCUCUGCGGGCGCGGGCGCGCGGGCGGGCGACCGAGUGCCGGCCAAGCGGGGCUCGGAUGGGAGCGGCCCGCGCCAGAUCCGAGGGCGAUUGCCUCCCCAGCCUGCGGAGGGUACGGCCGCGAGUGCCUCCAAAUCACUAGGGGACUCUGAACGUGUUGCUCCCGUCAACUCGCCCGACAUGAUUCAUUUAUUCACUUAGAUAAACCACCACUGCCACACCAACCUGCCACUUGAUGCGCACUUAAAAGGACAGGGGAGCGCGGCCAGGCAGACCCUCCGCCGGACACGACUCGGGGAGAAACGUGUUUUAAAAUCCAAGCUCUUGAGCUUCUAACCCGGGAGCGCGCGCGAGUGUGUGAAGAGGCUGGGAACGUCGGUUUUCAGAGACUCUAGAAUAAACUUCUCGCCCCCCUCUCCUCCCGAGGACAGCCGGGAAUGUGGGUGAUCGAGUCUCAUUGGGUCGGGUCGGCCUUCUAAGUUGGCGGGGCCCUGCGGGACCAGUCUGCCUGACCCGACCGCGCUCGCAUUGGAGAGCCGAGGCUCGAUCGGUCUGCCGGGCUGCAUAACCCCCGCCCCGCAGCAGCAGCGUCCCUCGCGCGCCGCCGCGUUUCCCGCGCUCUCGGCCCGUACUUCCCGGCGCGGCCUACAAGGCCCCGCGCGGCCCCGCCUCCGGGUCCGCUCGGUCUCCGGCUGCGAGCGGGAAGGCGGAGGUUAUCCGCCGAGGGACAAGCGGCGCGGACCGAGUUUUUGGAUAGAACCGUAUCGAAAGUCUGGUCUGUGGUAAUUUUAGAAUUUGAGCUGCUGGCCUGCUGAUGGGGGUUCCUGAGCAGAAGGGAAAAUGAGCUUAAACAUGAGGCUUGGAGGAGAAAGAAGGGCUGGGGAGAAAUAUGGUUAUUCAGUCAGUCAGUUCAGUCACUCAGUCGUAUCCAACUCUUUGUGACCCCAUGGAC